rnacentral:rRNA from 1 species
UACGUAGGUGGCCAGCGUUGUUCGGCAUUAUUGGGCGUAAAGGGCGCGUAGGCGGUUUGCUAAGUCAGUUGUGAAAGCCCGGGGCUCAACCCCGGAGGGUCGGCUGAUACUGGUGGACUAGAGUACGGAAGAGGUAGCUGGAAUUCCCGGUGUAGCGGUGAAAUGCGUAGAUAUGCGGAGGAACACCGAUGGCGAAGGCAAUCCCCUGGACCUGUACUGACGCUCAUGCACGAAAGCGUGGGGAGCAAACAGG